rnacentral:rRNA from 1 species
ACGGGAGGCAGCAGUGGGGAAUAUUGCACAAUGGGGGAAACCCUGAUGCAGCGACGCCGCGUGAGUGAAGAAGUAUUUCGGUAUGUAAAGCUCUAUCAGCAGGGAAGAAAAUGACGGUACCUGACUAAGAAGCACCGGCUAAAUACGUGCCAGCAGCCGCGGUAAUACGUAUGGUGCAAGCGUUAUCCGGAUUUACUGGGUGUAAGGGGAGCGUAGACGGCGAGGCAAGUCUGAAGUGAAAUGCGGGGGCUCAACCCCUGAACUGCUUUGGAAACUGUUUUGCUAGAGUGCAGGAGAGGUAAGUGGAAUUCCUAGUGUAGCGGUGAAAUGCGUAGAUAUUAGGAGGAACACCGGCGGCGAAGGCGGCUUACUGGACUGUAACUGACGUUGAGGCUCGAAAGCGUGGGGAGCAAACAGGAUUAGAUACCCUGGUA